UAGUGGACAGACUCCACAAACCCUCUGAUGA
rnacentral:piRNA from 2 species